UGCAGUCGAGCGGUAACAGGUCUUCGGAUGCUGACGAGUGGCGAACGGGUGAGUAAUGCAUCUUAACGUGCCCGAUACUGGGGGAUAACUACUCGAAAGAGUGGCUAAUACCGCAUGAAAACUGAGGUUGAAAGCGGGGGACCUUCCGGCCUCGCGCUACUGGAGCGGCCGAUAUCAGAUUACGUACUUGGUGGGAUAAAGGCUUACCAAGCCUACCAUCUGUAGCUGGUCUGACAGGACGACCAACCCCACUGGGACUGACACACGGCCCAAACUCCUACCGGAGGCAGCAAUGGGGAAUUUUGGANGAUGGAUGCAAGUCUGAUCCAUCAAUGCCGCGUGCAUGACGAAGGCCUUCGGGUUGUAAACUGCUUUUGUACAGAACGAAAGGGCUCUGGUUAAUACCUGGGGCCCAUGACAGUACUGUACGAAUAACCACCGGCUAACUACCUGCCAG
rnacentral:rRNA from 1 species